rnacentral:rRNA from 1 species
GAUGAACGCUAGCGGCAGGCUUAACACAUGCAAGUCGAGGGGUAUGGUUCUUCGGAACCAGAGACCGGCGCACGGGUGCGUAACGCGUAUGCAAUCUACCUUUCACAGAGGGAUAGCCCAGAGAAAUUUGGAUUAAUACCUCAUAGCAUAACGACCUGGCAUCAGGAUGUUAUUAAAGUCACAACGGUGAAAGAUGAGCAUGCGUCCCAUUAGCAGUUGGUAAGGUAACGGCUUACCAAGGCUACGAUGGGUAGGGGUCCUGAGAGGGAGAUCCCCCACACUGGUACUGAGACACGGACCAGACUCCUACGGGAGGCAGCAGUGGGAAUAUUGGGCAAUGGGGGAAACCCUGACCCAGCGACGCCGCGUGGGUGAUGAAGGCC